GACGAACGCUGGCGGCGUGCCUAAUACAUGCAAGUCGAACGCAGUGGGGACGGGUUAUGAACACGUGGGUAACCUCCCAUCAGAGGGGAUAACACUUGGAAACAGGUGCUAAACCGAUACUGAUGGAUGGACCCGCGGUGCAUUAGCUAGUUGGUGGGGUAACGGCUCACCAAGGCCACGAUGCCUAGCUGGGCUGCGAGGAUGAUCGGCCACACUGGGACUGAGACACGGUCCAGACUCCUACGGGAGGCAGCAGUGGGGAAUAUUUCGCAAUGGGCGAAAGUCUGACCGAGCCACGCCGCGUGUAUGAAGAAGGUUUUCGGAUCGUAAAGCUCUUUUAUUGGAGAGGCGGUAUCUGAACAGAAAGCAACGGCUAACUACGUGCCAGCAGCCGCGGUAAUUC
rnacentral:rRNA from 1 species